GGAUCCCUACGGGAGGCAGCAGUGAGGGAUAUUGGUCAAUGGGGGAAACCCUGAACCAGCAACGCCGCGUGAGGGAAGACGGUUUUCGGAUUGUAAACCUCUGUCCUCUGUGAAGAUAAUGACGGUAGCAGAGGAGGAAGCUCCGGCUAACUACGUGCCAGCAGCCGCGGUAAUACGUAGGGGGCGAGCGUUGUCCGGAUUUAUUGGGUUUAAAGGGUGCGUAGGCGGACUGUUAAGUCAGCGGUAAAAGCCCGGGGCUCAACCCCGGCGAGCCGUUGAAACUGGCUGUCUUGAGAUGUCGCGAG
rnacentral:rRNA from 1 species